rnacentral:rRNA from 1 species
AGAGUUUGAUCCUGGCUCAGGACGAACGCUGGCGGCACGCUUAACACAUGCAAGUCGAACGGGAGAAGAGGAGCUUGCUUUUCUGAUCUAGUGGCGGACGGGUGAGUAACACGUGAGCAAUCUGCCUUUCAGAGGGGGAUACCGAUUGGAAACGAUCGUUAAUACCGCAUAACAUAAUUGAACCGCAUGAUUUGAUUAUCAAAGAUUUAUCGCUGAAAGAUGAGCUCGCGUCUGAUUAGCUAGUUGGUAAGGUAACGGCUUACCAAGGCGACGAUCAGUAGCCGGACUGAGAGGUUGAUCGGCCACAUUGGGACUGAGACACGGCCCAGACUCCUACGGGAGGCAGCAGUGGGGAAUAUUGCACAAUGGAGGAAACUCUGAUGCAGCGAUGCCGCGUGAGGGAAGAAGGUUUUAGGAUUGUAACCUCUGUCUUCAGGGACGAAAAAAGACGGUACCUGAGGAGGAAGCUCCGGCUAACUACGUGCCAGCAGCCGCGGUAAUACGUAGGGAGCGAGCGUUGUCCGGAAUUACUGGGUGUAAAGGGAGCGUAGGCGGGAUCGCAAGUCAGAUGUGAAAACUAUGGGCUUAACCCAUAAACUGCAUUUGAAACUGUGGUUCUUGAGUGAAGUAGAGGUAAGCGGAAUUCCUAGUGUAGCGGUGAAAUGCGUAGAUAUUAGGAGGAACAUCAGUGGCGAAGGCGGCUUACUGGGCUUUAACUGACGCUGAGGCUCGAAAGCGUGGGGAGCAAACAGGAUUAGAUACCCUGGUAGUCCACGCCGUAAACGAUGAUUACUAGGUGUGGGGGGACUGACCCCUUCCGUGCCGCAGCAAACGCAAUAAGUAAUCCACCUGGGGAGUACGACCGCAAGGUUGAAACUCAAAGGAAUUGACGGGGGCCCGCACAAGCAGUGGAGUAUGUGGAUUAAUUCGAAGCAACGCGAAGAACCUUACCAGGUCUUGACAUCGUAUGCAUAGCUCAGAGAUGAGUGAAAUCUCUUCGGAGACAUAUAGACAGGUGGUGCAUGGUUGUCGUCAGCUCGUGUCGUGAGAUGUUGGGUUAAGUCCCGCAACGAGCGCAACCCUUACUGUUAGUUGCUACGCAAGAGCACUCUAGCAGGACUGCCGUUGACAAAACGGAGGAAGGUGGGGAUGACGUCAAAUCAUCAUGCCCCUUAUGACCUGGGCCUCACACGUACUACAAUGGCUGUCAACAGAGGGAAGCAAAGCCGCGAGGUGGAGCGAACCCCUAAAAGCAGUCUUAGUUCGGAUUGUAGGCUGCAACCCGCCUACAUGAAGUCGGAAUUGCUAGUAAUCGCAGAUCAGCAUGCUGCGGUGAAUACGUUCCCGGGCCUUGUACACACCGCCCGUCACGCCAUGGGAGUCGGUAACACCCGAAGCCUGUAGUCUAACCGCAAGGAGGACGCAGUCGAAGGUGGGAUUGAUGACUGGGGUGAAGUCGUAACAAGGUA